AUGCGACGCACCUCCUUGUUCCUCGUCCUGCCGCUGCUGCUGCUUCUUGUGGUAUCGGCCACAGUUCGAUCCGCGGCGGCGGCGGCGACCAAGGUGUGGAAAGGGGAAGGGACUCGAUACAGCGUCAUGGCUUUCCAUGCCGCCGGGGACGGCGAGACGGAUGAUUCCAAGGCGUUCGAGGAGACAUGGGAAUCUGCGUGCAGGGACAGCGGCGGGGCGAACGUCUACGUCCCUGCAGGAAGGACCUUCCUGCUGCGCGACGCCACUUUCAACGGGCCCUGCAAGUCGCCCAUCACCAUGCAGGUGGACGGGGACAUCGUGGCGCCAAGCACCCUCUGGCAGCUAAGAUCGUCAAGCGUGCUGACCUUCCACGAGGUGGACAACCUGACGGUGGACGGCAGCGGCCAGAUCGACGGCCGGGGCGCCCCAUGGUGGGAUUGCCACAACCACAAGAAAUGCAGUGUCCGGCCAAUGCUGGUGUCAUUCUCGUUCUGCAACGGCCUGCGGGUGACCAACAUACGUCUCAAGGACAGCGCCCUCAAGCACAUCAGCGUGUACAGGUGCAGCCAGGCGCUGGUGCACAACGUCUCCAUCUCCGCGCCCGGCGACAGCCCCAACACGGACGGGAUCACCAUUGGGGCCUCCCACCAUGUCCGCGUCUCCUCUUCCUCCAUCCAGUCCGGUGAUGAUUGCGUGUCGAUUAUAACGGGAACCACCGAUGUGAACGUCACCGACAUCACGUGUGGGCCCGGUCAUGGUAUCAGUGUGGGAAGCCUUGGAGGUGCUGGUGAAGGCCCAGCGAUGGUGGAGAGGAUUACAGUAUCCAACUGCAAAUUCUUCAAUACGACCAACGGCGUCAGGAUCAAAUCGUGGCAGGGAGGGCAAGGCAAAGCGAGCGGAUUCAUUUUCAGGGACCUCAACAUGACUGAAGUCCAACAUCCUAUCGACAUCGACCAGUUCUACUGCCCGCAUGGAAACUGUCCAGAACGGCAAGGUGGUGUGGCCAUAACCGACGCGAGGUUCAUCAACAUCCAUGGGACGUCCUCCGAGCGAGAGGCUAUCAAGAUCAUGUGCAGCAAUAGCGUGCCAUGCCACGACAUCUAUCUCGAUAAUGUCGACCUAUCCUGUUGUAGGCACACUGCCCCACCAAAAGCCAAGGCUCUGAAUGCCCAUGGGAGCGUCGCGGGCACGGUGGAGCCACAAGUACGGUUCUUGGGACGUUGA
rnacentral:rRNA from 1 species